AUUGAACGCUGGCGGCAGGCCUAACACAUGCAAGUCGAACGAGUGGCGGACGGGUGGGUAAUGUCUGGGAAACUGCCUGAUGGAGGGGGAUGACUACUGGAAACGGUAGCUAAUACCGCAUACCAUCAGCUGUGCCCAGAUGGGAUUAGCUAGUUGGUGGGGUAACGGCUCACCAAGGCGACGAUCCCUACCUGGUCUGAGGGGAUGACAAGCAGCACUGGAACUGAGCCAAGGACCAGAGGCCUAAGGGAGGGAGCAGUGGGGAAGAUGGCACAAUGGGGGCAAGCCUGAUGCAGCCAUGCCGGGUGUAUGAAGAAGGCCCUCGGGUUGUAAAGUACUUUCAGAGGGGAGGCGUUACCCGCAGAAGAAGCACCGGCUAACUCCGUGCCAGCAGCCGCGGUAAUUC
rnacentral:rRNA from 1 species